GCUCACAUUAUAUAGAAGAGAGAAAUAAAUUUAUAAAUCGAAAUUUUAGUAGAAGACCAAAUAUUAUACUAUUUAGUGAAAUUAUGUCGUCUACAAACAAGGCAGAUCUCACAAAUGUAUGUAAGUUUAUACGAAUUAUAAACAAGCGAGUGUGUCCUCCUGCAUAAAUUCUGUUUGUUUUGUUGUUGUUGUAUAUAUUGUAUAUUUAUGUUUAUGUGUUUAAUGUAUUGUAUUACAUGUCUUCUCUGUACCUAUGUAUUUGGUGAUGAGAAUAAAAGAUAAAUAA
rnacentral:lncRNA from 1 species